rnacentral:rRNA from 1 species
UUACCAGACUCCUACGGGAGGCAGCAGUGGGGGAUAUUGCACAAUGGGGGGAACCCUGAUGCAGCGACGCCGCGUGAGUGAAGAAGUCUUUCGGUAUGUAAAGCUCUAUCAGCAGGGAAGAAAGAGACGAAAGUCUUGUGACAGUACCUGACUAAGAAGCCCCGGCUAACUACGUGCCAGCAGCCGCGGUAAUACGGAGGGUGCGAGCGUUAAUCGGAAUUACUGGGCGUAAAGCGCUCGUAGGCGGUAUGUCAAGUCAAGGGUGAAAUCCCCGCGCUCAACGUGGGAACUGCCUUUGAAACUGGCAAACUGGAGUGUGUGAGAGGAUAGUGGAAUUCCAGGUGUAGGAGUGAAAUCCGUAGAUAUCUGGAGGAACAUCAGUGGCGAAGGUGACUAUCUGGCACAUAACUGACGCUGAGGAGCGAAAGCGUGGGUAGCAAACAGGAUUAGAUACCCCAGUA